AACGUUGAAAAAAAAAAAUAAAGAAAGGGUGAUCUUGGUUAGGGCAUAGUUGCCUUACAAGGGCACUGUGCUUGACCUUGGCCCUGGGCACAGAUUCAGUGCUUAGGAAGCCAGCGCGGUGGGGUACAGGUGGUCAUUGAUGUUGGUCUCCCUCCAGGCCAGACUGCAAUUCCUGCAGCCCUGCUGGCAUCUGAGCCGUGACCAACGUAGGACUCCUGUUUCCUAGCAGUCCCUGCGGAACUUUCGCCUGAUGGGUCCUCCGUGCCUGGCCGCCGUUGUCUUUCUCCUGGGGAUAAGGAUGCCAGGGGUGGGCUCUGGAGAGCACGCAGGUCUAAGGGGGUGAGGCGAUGGCGCUGCAGGAGGCCUUCUGCCACAUCUGCCUUCCACAGUGGCCAGGGCAGCGUAGGUGGAGGUGGGGACUGUGGACCUGGAGCCAAACCGGCGGAGCCACGCCCCUCCUGCAGCUGUCAGUCAGCUUAAGCCCCGGGGCUAGAGGAGGUGCACUUUCUUCCUUAAAAAUCCUGACCCCCACCCUGUCCUGUCUCUUCUCUCCCAGCCUAAAAAGGUGGGUGCUUGAACUCGCGCGUCUCUGGUCCCACCCCGCCAUUCCCCUCCACUCUAGGGCCACGUGGGUGACUAUCAGCUGCUGCUUUUAACGUGACCUCUAGGUGUCACCCUUGGUCUCAGCUUAACCCGCCUAUCUCAAGCCCCUUGCCCUGGAGGAGGCGGGCCCGGAAGUUCCCUCCUUUCUCGCCCUGCCUCUACCUGAUUCCACUUCUCUUCCAGUCUGCGGAGUGUUUGUCUUUUUACAAGGGGUGACCUGGCAGACCUUACAGAGCCAUGGCAACAAAGAGCCUUGUGCUCACUACAGCAGAGCAUUCUGCCUUUGUCCGAUCCAGUCCGGUGCGUCAGUCUCUGCAAACAACAAAAGAUGUGGCCACUGACCGCCUGCCCCUGCCCCCAUCAGAGGACCAAGGGAAGCUGAGGCCUCUCUGGCUGGAAGCAAGCUAGGAGAGCAGCAGACAGAUACAGCCAAGAUGAUGCUGCAAGAUUAGGGCAGGAUAGAAACUAGAGGAGCCCAGCUCUUCUCCUGAGACCUUCUCUUCAGAAGUGACAGACCUGCCACCUUUAUCUGUGAGAAAAACAGAUGACUCUGGUUCAAUCACUCCUUCCUGAGACUUGGAGUGAAAUUCAUCUGAGGUGAAUUCACCUAAGGUCUUACUCCCAAUAAACCUUUUGCCUUCCUGACUCCAUCUCAGCAUUCCUUCCCGGAAGAUUCAACUGCCACACUUGUCUUGGUAUGGCUGGAAGAAAGAGACUGAAGGAGAGAGGCCUAAAACCAGGCUGUAGAGGUAAGCAAAGCCAGAACACACAGGACUUGAUAGACCAUGCUAAGUAUUUUUUACUUUGCCCUUAGGGCAGUUGGAAGUCACUGCAUGUUUUUAAACAGACUGGGGAGGAGUGGGGAAAAUGAUCAAAUGUAAAUUUGAAAAAUUUGAAAAAUGAUCUAAAUGUAAAUUUAGAAAGACCACUCCAGCUGUUAUAUGUUAAAAAGGCUGGAGACUUGGGAGACUGAGGACAAGAAGAUCAAUAUGCAUGCUAUAACUGGAGUCUAAAAAGAGAAAAUAGUGGCUUGGACUAGGAUGAACCAGAGACAGUGAAGGUUUGAAAGAUAUUUAAAAAGUAGAAUCUCCAAAAUUUGGUGAUUUAUCGGAUGUGGGUGGUGUGGGAAAUGUAAAAGUCAACGAUGCCCAGAUCUCUGGCUUGAGCUACUGUGUGGAAAGUGGUGCCAGAUGCUGAUACAGGGAGUCCUGUGGGAAACAAAUGUGAGAGUUCAACUUUGGACAUGCAGAGUUGGAGAUGCCCCUAGGAUAUCCAAGAGCACUAUAAAGAGUUGGAUAUAUUGUUCUGGAGUGUGAACAGAAAUUUAGGCUGGAGAAGUACAUUUGGGAGUCCUUAGCAUACAGAUGGAAGCAAAUGAGAUCAUCCAGGAGAGGUACAAUGUUUUGAGAGAGACGUAAGAGAUUGACCUAGGAAACUCAGACAUACAAGGUUCUGGAAAGGGACAAGAGGUUAACAAGUGAGACUUAGGCCAGGGAAUAUGGAGUCACAGAAACUUUGAGAGGGUUUUUGAUAAGGAGGAGAUAUAAAUAUUACCUAGUGUCUAAGCAAGGUAAGGACUGAAACUAUUCUUUUGCCUUAGUGACAUGGAGGCCAUUGGUGAACUUAAUAAGAGACAUUUCAGGGCGCCUGGGUGGCGCAGUCGGUUGAGCGUCCGACUUCAGCCAGCCAGGUCACGAUCUCGCGGUCCGUGGGUUCGAGCCC